CAGUCGCCGCGGGAAUACGAAGGGUGCAAGCGUUACUCGGAAUUACUGGGCGUAAAGCGUGCGUAGGUGGUGGUUUAAGUCCGUUGUGAAAGCCCUGGGCUCAACCUGGGAAUUGCAGUGGAUACUGGGUCACUAGAGUGUGGUAGAGGAUAGUGGAAUUUCCGGUGUAGCAGUGAAAUGCGUAGAGAUCGGAAGGAACAUCUGUGGCGAAGGCGACUAUCUGGGCCAUUACUGACACUGAGGCACGAAAGCGUGGGGAGCAAACAGGAUUAGAUACCCGCGUAGUCCCUGUCUCUUAUAC
rnacentral:rRNA from 1 species